rnacentral:rRNA from 1 species
CGCGGCCUAUCAGCUUGUUGGUGGGGUGAUGGCCUACCAAGGCGACGACGGGUAGCCGGCCUGAGAGGGCGACCGGCCACACUGGGACUGAGACACGGCCCAGACUCCUACGGGAGGCAGCAGUGGGGAAUAUUGCACAAUGGGCGCAAGCCUGAUGCAGCGACGCCGCGUGAGGGAUGACGGCCUUCGGGUUGUAAACCUCUUUCGCCAGGGACGAAGCCUUUUGGGGUGACGGUACCUGGAGAAGAAGCACCGGCUAACUACGUGCCAGCAGCCGCGGUAAUACGUAGGGUGCGAGCGUUGUCCGGAAUUAUUGGGCGUAAAGAGCUCGUAGGCGGUUUGUCGCGUCGGCCGUGGAAACUGGAGGCUUAACCUUCAGCGUGCGGUCGAUACGG